UACGUAGGGUGCAAGCGUUAAUCGGAAUUACUGGGCGUAAAGCGUGCGCAGGCGGCUUUGUAAGUCUGGCGUGAAAUCCCCGGGCUUAACCUGGGAAUUGCGAUGGAGACUGCAAGGCUAGAAUCUGGCAGAGGGGGGUAGAAUUCCACGUGUAGCAGUGAAAUGCGUAGAGAUGUGGAGGAACACCGAUGGCGAAGGCAGCCCCCUGGGUCAAGAUUGACGCUCAUGCACGAAAGCGUGGGGAGCAAACAGG
rnacentral:rRNA from 1 species